AGGUAGUUGCAUAGUGAUAUUGCAGUAUGGCUGCUGUUCCUGCUCAGCUCCCUGAUGAGUUUGGUCCUGGGCCCACUGACGAUUCGGUGUUAAGGUUUAUAAAAACACAUCGAGCGUGCGCUGUUUGGGAAGGCAAGGAUCCAGGGCCACUGAAAUGCCACGGUCGUAAUGACGAGUUCCGAAAACGACGCCGGAUAGU